rnacentral:tRNA from 1 species
UGGCUCAGUGGUAGAGCGCUUGCCUUGCAUGCAAGAGACCCUGAGUUCGAUUCCUUAG